CAAUUUUAAGAUAGGUGGUUAGUUAAUUUGUUGAUCUAAUUUACAGAAAUAUUUUGGUAUUUUUGUAUUAUUGUUUUGCACCAAUAACAGAUAUAUAAAGCCUUACUGUGGCAAUAAAUGAUUUACACACCUCUGCUCUGUGUGUUUAGCUGGUUCAGCUAACUUCUUUGACAGCCAAAAAACCCAGGCAAGACACUACAAGACACUUCAAGAAAUAUACAAGACCAAAAAACCGAACAAAGCUGCUGUUACCCAACUGCUGAACCUGGAGUUUGAGUCUAGAAGACAAUUCAUUAACUCUGAUGCUAUAAAGGAGCAGGACAGAGCAGUGAAGAUACUAGAGGCAUAUCCUUGUUUCAGAGAACUGGACCAUGUCCUUGAUGAGCUGCGGAGAAUUAUUCAACCAUCCAACUUGAAAUACAUUUCUGAGAUGAAGGAUAGAUGGGAAAUCUUCUACUCGAAGGUGCAGUUUUAUGGUGUCAUGAAGAAAGUUAUGAAGCCGCCAAAAACUUUGGAUGGAGUGGAACAUGCAGCAGCUGUGUUCAGAGCCCUUCCCGUGCUUUUCCCUUCCAGCACAGUACCACCUAAGAAGCUGGGCAUCUGUAGUGAGGCUUUUUUCCAUGUCCUAAAGACUUCAGAAGACCCUGAAGGCUACCUGCAUCAGCGACCCCUGGCUUGUCCAGUUCUGCUUGUCUCUGAAGGCAACUGCAUGAUAGCUGUUGGAACCACACCAGUGAGCACUUUUGACCGGAAGGAUCUUAAUGAGGGACUGCUCUAUCUGAUGGCAUAUUACUAUGCCCUCCACCUCACAUAUCCAAAGUGCAUUUCCACGCUGCUGUCUGUCUUGCAAACUGAAAUACUCAAAGACUCCAUCCAUGACCGAGAUUCAACCCCCUCUUACAGGAAGGCGCUUGUUUAUCAUUGGGAGAUUGGUCAUCAAGAAAGGGAGAUGGUCAGCAACAAUAUCCCCCACACCAUCACACCACCACCAACAGUGUGAACUGUCUACAAGGCAGGCUGGAUCCACGCUUUUAUGUUGUUUACACCAAAUUCUGCCUACUAUCCAACUUUCAACUAUUAUCAAAUCUUGGUGAGCCUUUUAUGAACUGUAGCCUUACGAGUGGCACCAGGUGCGGUCUUCUGCUGUUGUAACCCAUCUGUUUCAAAUGACUGAAAAAGCCAGCAAGUGAUUAUUUAAGUAUUGCUUUCCUGUUAACUCAAAGCAGUCUGGUCAUUGUUCUCUGACAUCAAGAUCUUCACACAGAGAAC
ensembl:lncRNA